rnacentral:tRNA from 1 species
GGUUUGGUGGUCUAGUAGUAUGAUUCACCCUUAGGGUUCCCUAGCAAAGGGAUUCAAUUGGGUGAGGUCCCGGGUUCAAUUCCCGGCCAGACCC